GCUGGGAUGACUGAGUGGCUAAAAGUACGGAUCUGUAAAAUCCGCGACCGGAAGGUCUACGAAGGUUCGAAUCCUUCUCCCAGCA
rnacentral:tRNA from 1 species